GGGGUUGGAGUCAGCACUUUGGCCCCAUGUGGCUACAUCAUGCUGUCGACAGGGAUGAAUGGUGAGGGGCCACAGGAGAGGGCCCGGUGGCUGAGGAGGGGAGGAGAAUGGAUCAUUUAUUCAUACAUCUGCACCGAGGUCAGCUGAGAUACACAGAUACUCCUUUGAGUUCAAACCUGGGACUUUUUACCCUUUGAACUGCACACUGGUGGACGAAGUACACAACUUCAUUACUUUAGUCAAACUAUACUUAUGAUCAAAUAAUGCCUCAAUAUGAAUCAAAGUUGCAUGGAAGUAUUAGAUUACCCAAUAAUGACUUCUGUAAUUAAACUACUUUUAAAACAAAAAUCUCAAAAGGUGUUUUGACGACACAAGUGCAAUCAACUUUAUUUACUUUUUUCAAACUUACUUGCGACUUAAACUUAAAAUUUCUGAAUCUGUAGCUUUCUUACAGACUACAGAGUUUGUGUGUGGUAAAAAGAGCACAGAUUUGAGCUAUACAAAUCAUCCCUCAUUUCAAAAACCGCAAAUAUGGGCUUAUUGCCACGGGUGCUUUGCUGGAAAUUGUCCUCCCUCUUUGCUGUAACCACCACAAAAUGGUCCACCGCAAAUGAUGAGUGAUAUUUGCCAAGCAUUUGCUUUAUGUUCCACCAUGGAGAUGUACGACACACAGGUACGGACACACCAAUAAAACCAAAUCUUAGAUGAGAAAAUUUAUGAGCUAACUUCAGAGCAAAGAUAGUGAUUGAUGAGGACAUUCAUAGAAAUGCGGUGGAGUUAAAAGUACAACAUUUAUCCUCCAGAUGAAGUGGAGUCAACAUUUCCUCAGAAAAUAACCCUUAAGUUUGUGUCAGAUACUCAAAGGAUGUACUUAAGUGCAUUUUGUCAUAUAAUUAAGCCUGUAAUCCUUAAUGAAACAUAUCGUAAAGUGUAAAACUGUUCAGUGUUGAGCAAUGUUCAAAUUUCUUCAGCGUUAAAAGUCCUCAAGAAGAGACCAUGACCUUGUCCUGAAGCUCA